AGCUAGUUGGUGAGGUAACGGCUCACCAAGGCGACGACGGGUAGCCGGCCUGAGAGGGUGACCGGCCACACUGGGACUGAGACACGGCCCAGACUCCUACGGGAGGCAGCAGUGGGGAAUAUUGCACAAUGGGCGCAAGCCUGAUGCAGCAACGCCGCGUGAGGGACGACGGCCUUCGGGUUGUAAACCUCUUUUAGUAGGGAAGAAGCGAAAGUGACGGUACCUGCAGAAAAAGCACCGGCUAACUACGUGCCAGCAGCCGCGGUAAUACGUAGGGUGCAAGCGUUAUCCGGAAUUAUUGGGCGUAAAGAGCUCGUAGGCGGUUUGUCGCGCCUGCUGUGAAAACUGGAGGCUCAACCUCCAGCCUGCAGUGGGUACGGGCAAACUAGAGUGCGGUAGGGGAGAUUGGAAUUCCUGGUGUAGCGGUGGAAUGCGCAGAUAUCAGGAGGAACACCGAUGGCGAAGGCAGAUCUCUGGGCCGUAACUGACGCUGAGGAGCGAAAGCAUGGGGAGCGAACAGGAUUAGAUACCCUGGUAGUCCAUGCCGUAAACGUUGGGAACUAGAUGUGGGGGCCAUUCCACGGCUUCCGUGUCGCAGCUAACGCAUUAAGUUCCCCGCCUGGGGAGUACGGCCGCAAGGCUAAAACUCAAAGGAAUUGACGGGGGCCCGCACAAGCGGCGGAGCAUGCGGAUUAAUUCGAUGCAACGCGAAGAACCUUACCAAGGCUUGACAUAUACGAGAACGCUGCAGAAAUGUAGAACUCUUUGGACACUCGUAUACAGGUGGUGCAUGGUUGUCGUCAGCUCGUGUCGUGAGAUGUUGGGUUAAGUCCCGCAACGAGCGCAACCCUCGUUCUAUGUUGCCAGCACGUAAUGGUGGGAACUCAUAGGAGACUGCCGGGGUCAACUCGGAGGAAGGUGGGGAUGACGUCAAAUCAUCAUGCCCCUUAUGUCUUGGGCUUCACGCAUGCUACAAUGGCCGGUACAAAGGGCUGCAAUACCGUAAGGUGGAGCGAAUCCCAAAAAGCCGGUCUCAGUUCGGAUUGAGGUCUGCAACUCGACCUCAUGAAGUCGGAGUCGCUAGUAAUCGUGGAUCAGCAACGCCACGGUGAAUACGUUCCCGGGCCUUGUACACACCGCCCGUCAAGUCAUGAAAGUCGGUAACACCCGAAGCCAGUGGCCCAACCGCAAGGAGGGAGCUGUCGAAGGUGGGAUCGGUGAUUAGGACUAAGUCGUAACAAGGUAGCCGUACUAGUACGAAUGUAAG
rnacentral:rRNA from 1 species